rnacentral:rRNA from 1 species
GACGAACGCUGGUGGCGUGCUUGACACAUGCAAGUCGAACGGAAAGGCCCUGCUUUUGUGGGGUGCUCGAGUGGCGAACGGGUGAGUAACACGUGAGUAACCUGCCCUUGACUUUGGGAUAACUUCAGGAAACUGGGGCUAAUACCGGAUAGGAGCUCCUGCUGCAUGGUGGGGGUCGGAAAGUUUCGGCGGUUGGGGAUGGACUCGCGGCUUAUCAGCUUGUUGGUGGGGUAGUGGCUUACCAAGGCUUUGACGGGUAGCCGGCCUGAGAGGGUGACCGGCCACAUUGGGACUGAGAUACGGCCCAGACUCCUACGGGAGGCAGCAGUGGGGAAUAUUGCACAAUGGGCGGAAGCCUGAUGCAGCAACGCCGCGUGCGGGAUGACGGCCUUCGGGUUGUAAACCGCUUUCGCCUGUGACGAAGCGUGAGUGACGGUAAUGGGUAAAGAAGCACCGGCUAACUACGUGCCAGCAGCCGCGGUGAUACGUAGGGUGCGAGCGUUGUCCGGAUUUAUUGGGCGUAAAGGGCUCGUAGGUGGUUGAUCGCGUCGGAAGUGUAAUCUUGGGGCUUAACCCUGAGCGUGCUUUCGAUACGGGUUGACUUGAGGAAGGUAGGGGAGAAUGGAAUUCCUGGUGGAGCGGUGGAAUGCGCAGAUAUCAGGAGGAACACCAGUGGCGAAGGCGGUUCUCUGGGCCUUUCCUGACGCUGAGGAGCGAAAGCGUGGGGAGCGAACAGGCUUAGAUACCCUGGUAGUCCACGCUGUAAACGGUGGGUACUAGGUGUGGGGUCCAUUCCACGGGUUCCGUGCCGUAGCUAACGCUUUAAGUACCCCGCCUGGGGAGUACGGCCGCAAGGCUAAAACUCAAAGGAAUUGACGGGGCCCCGCACAAGCGGCGGAGCAUGCGGAUUAAUUCGAUGCAACGCGUAGAACCUUACCUGGGUUUGACAUGGAUCGGGAGUGCUCAGAGAUGGGUGUGCCUCUUUUGGGGUCGGUUCACAGGUGGUGCAUGGCUGUCGUCAGCUCGUGUCGUGAGAUGUUGGGUUAAGUCCCGCAACGAGCGCAACCCUUGUUCACUGUUGCCAGCACGUUAUGGUGGGGACUCAGUGGAGACCGCCGGGGUCAACUCGGAGGAAGGUGGGGAUGACGUCAAGUCAUCAUGCCCCUUAUGUCCAGGGCUUCACGCAUGCUACAAUGGCUGGUACAGAGAGUGGCGAGCCUGUGAGGGUGAGCGAAUCUCGGAAAGCCGGUCUCAGUUCGGAUUAGGGUCUGCAACUCGACCUCAUGAAGUCGGAGUCGCUAGUAAUCGCAGAUCAGCAACGCUGCGGUGAAUACGUUCCCGGG